rnacentral:rRNA from 1 species
UGUAUGAAUGGUUGGACGAAAUAUUAACUGUCUCAUAUUUAAUAUUAUAAUUUAAAUUUUUAGUUAAAAUGCUUAAAUUUUUUUAUAGGACGAGAAGACCCUAUAGAUCUUUAUUUUUAGUUUUAUAUUUGAUUUAGUUUAUUAUUAUUUUAUUUAAUUUAAAUGUUUUGUUGGGGUGAUUUUGGGAUAACUUUAACUCUUAUUUUUAUUAUUCAAUUAUUUUUGUAAAUUUGAUCUUUUAGUAAUGUUUAUAAGAUAUAGAUACCUUAGGGAUAACAGCGUAAUUUUUUUUGAGAGUUCUUAUUGACAAUGAAGUUUGCGACCUCGAUGUUGGAUUAAGAUUAUAUUUAGGUGUAGGUGCUUAAUUAAUAAGUCUGUUCGACUUUUAAAAUCUUACAUGAUCUGAGUUCAAACCGGAGA